GACAGAGGUGCCGAGCGUUAGGCGGAAUCACUGGGCUUAAAGCGUGUGUAGGCGGAUCGUUAAGUACCUUGUGAAAUCCCACGGCUUAACCGUGGAACUGCUUGGUAUACUGGCGAUCUUGAGCCACCUAGGGGCAACCGGAACAAAUGGUGGAGCGGUGAAAUGCGUAGAGAUCGGAAAGAACACCAACGGUGAAAGCACUCUGCUGGGCCGACACUGACACUGAGAGACGAAAGCUAGGGGAGCGAAUGGG
rnacentral:rRNA from 1 species